UAAGGAAUAUUGGGCAAUGGAGGCAACUCUGACCCAGCCAUGCCGCGUGGAGGAUGAAGGUCCUCUGGAUUGUAAACUUCUUUUAUUUGGGAAGAAAUGCCGACUUUCUAGUUGGUUUGACGGUACCAGAUGAAUAAGCACCGGCUAACUCCGUG
rnacentral:rRNA from 1 species